GUGCCAGCCGCCGCGGUAACACGUAGGAGCCAAGCGUUAUCCGAAUUCACUGGGCGUAAAGCGCGUGUAGGCGGCUCGGUAAGUUGGAUGUGAAAUCUCCUGGCUCAACUGGGAGAGGACGUUCAAUACUGUCGGGCUAGAGGACGGCAGAGGGAGGUGGAAUUCCCGGUGUAGUGGUGAAAUGCGUAGAUAUCGGGAGGAACACCAGUGGCGAAGGCGGCCUUCUGGGCCGAACCUGACGCUCAGACGCGAAAGCUAGGGGAGCGAACGGGAUUAGAAACCCCCGUAGUCC
rnacentral:rRNA from 1 species